UACGUAGGGGGCAAGCGUUGUCCGGAAUCAUUGGGCGUAAAGAGCGCGUAGGCGGUCCGGUAAGUCCGCUCUGAAAGUCCGGGGCUCAACCCCGGGAGGCGGGCGGAUACUGUCGGGCUAGAGUCCGGAAGAGGCGAGUGGAAUUCCUGGUGUAGCGGUGAAAUGCGCAGAUAUCAGGAGGAACACCAAUGGCGAAGGCGGGUCUCUGGGCCGAUACUGACGCUGAGGAGCGAAAGCGUGGGGAGCGAACAGG
rnacentral:rRNA from 1 species